rnacentral:lncRNA from 1 species
CUCAAUUUUUAGGUAUUUCUUUCGGUGCGCCUACAUUUAGCUUUCAAGGGUAUACCUUCGUGCCACUAAAAAUGUUUAUUCUUACUUCAUGUAUGCUCUAAUAUAUAAUUGGUUUUUUUCCUGUAUCUCCACUUCAAAUGCGCUUUAAUUCUUACACUUCUACUUACUUCAUGAAGCUCCACAUUUUUCUACAGGUAUAUCUAAAGAGUCAAAUAUGAAUGAUAAUACUUGAGCUUCUUCCAAAGCAUUUAUCACUAAAUUUAGAAAGAACUCUCCUGAAAGAUUACCAUAAUUUGAAAGAACAAUUAAAUAUCUUCAUGGAAAACUUAUCUUUUGUUUAUAACUACAAAGUGAACAUUAUAGAACUCAAACAAGAGAUGACUUCUCUGUCAACAUAUUUGAUUGUUCUUUUAGAUUGUGUUAUUAUUUUAGGAGAGUUCUUUUUUAAGUUUGGUGAUAGUUACUUUGGAAGAAGCUCAAACUUUAGACUCCAGCAUAUUUCAUAUUAAGAGGUAAUUCCUAAACCUACGUCAAUUUUUCCUCAAUUUAAAGUCCUGAAUUAUGUGUUCAGAAGGAAUUAUAUUGUCAUUGUAUAAUCAAUUGUGAAACCAUUUUUGUUCCAGCAGUUGAAAAUAUCUCUAUGCCUCAGAAGCCCAGGUAUUCUCUUCUUUUCUUUGCACACUUCUCUCCUCCU